rnacentral:misc_RNA from 1 species
CAGUUCCUGGCUCACCUAGUAGCUUCAGAAAGUAUCAUAAUUAUCAUUAGCAAACACCCACCAUGUUUUUUCACUUAUGAUGAAAAGCUUAACGAAACUCAAAAUUGUUAUUUAAAAUCAAAAGCUAAUUCCAUGCUAAAUUCAUAAUGUUUUCUUUUGAUUGUGUUCCUUCCAAUGUGUCUUUAGAUCAUUAUUGGAUCAUGCAAUCUUCAUAUAUAUAGAAAUAUACAACAGGGAAGCUCAAGUUUCUUAGAAUGAAACAUCGAAACAUGCUAUGUAAUAUAGGAAUAGAAUCUACAAUGAAAGAUGAAGAGAGUAUGUCAUCAAUAUAAAUAACACCCAAAUGAGAUUUUGAGAAAUAAAUGUCCACCAGAAGCGGAAGGCACAAUAUAUGUGUGUG